AUAUAAAAAGUAAAUCUUUACAUUUAGUUUCGGCCUAAAAAUUGAUAUUUUUUCCAUAUCUUUAUAUU
rnacentral:tRNA from 1 species